AUGAACGCUGGCGGCGUGCCUAAUACAUGCAAGUCGCGCGAACAGACGAGGAGCUUGCUCCUCUGACGUUAGCGGCGGACGGGUGAGUAACACGUGGAUAACCUACCUAUAAGACUGGGAUAACUUCGGGAUACCGGAGCUAAUACCGGAUAAUAUAUUGAACCGCAUGGUUCAAUAGUGAAAGACGGUUUUGCUGUCACUUAUAGAUGGAUCCGCGCCGCAUUAGCUAGUUGGUAAGGUAACGGCUUACCAAGGCAACGAUGCGUAGCCGACCUGAGAGGGUGAUCGGCCACACUGGAACUGAGACACGGUCCAGACUCCUACGGGAGGCAGCAGUAGGGAAUCUUCCGCAAUGGGCGAAAGCCUGACGGAGCAACGCCGCGUGAGUGAUGAAGGUCUUCGGAUCGUAAAACUCUGUUAUUAGGGAAGAACAAAUGUGUAAGUAACUAUGCACGUCUUGACGGUACCUAAUCAGAAAGCCACGGCUAACUACGUG
rnacentral:rRNA from 1 species